rnacentral:lncRNA from 1 species
CCAAGCAUCGGAGUCGACUCAAAACCUUCAAGAGUUGACUUGUUGACAGGGUCUGAAAACCAUCGUUCUGUCUUUCUGUCUGUUACCCUUUGGAAUCGACUCGGGACUAUCUGGAGUCGACUCGCCAGGCAUCGGAGUCGACUCGAAACCUUCAGGAGUCGACUCGCUGAUAAGGUCUGAAAACCGUCGUUCUGUCUUUCUGUCUGUUCUCAGUCGGAGUCGACUCGAGGAGUUCCGGAGUCAACUCGAGCUUGUGCCAAAAACAUCAAACCACCCGGAGUCGAUCGCAAAGUUUCGGAGUCGACUCGUGAUGUUUGGUUAAAAUUGAGUCCAAUACUUAGCCAAAUUACUUUGAACCAAAGCUCGAGGCACUUAAACAGAAAUUCCUACAUUGUUACCUGAAACACUAGAUUUAAUUCAUUAGUGCAACAUAAGAUAUACUCAAAAUGCUUUGUGCUCA